rnacentral:rRNA from 1 species
GGUAACACGAAAUCGUACCCCAAACCGACACAGGUGGUCAGGUAGAGAAUACCAAGGCGCUUGAGAGAACUCGGGUGAAGGAACUAGGCAAAAUGGUGCCGUAACUUCGGGAGAAGGCACGCUGAUAUGUAGGUGAAGUCCCUGCGGACGGAGCUGAAAUCAGUCGAAGAUACCAGCUGGCUGCAACUGUUUAUUAAAAACACAGCACUGUGCAAACACGAAAGUGGACGUAUACGGUGUGACGCCUGCCCGGUGCCGGAAGGUUAAUUGAUGGGGUUAGCGGCAACGCGAAGCUCUUGAUCGAAGCCCCGGUAAACGGCGGCCGU